AUGUCUGGGAGUCUGAGAAGACCUUCCCAGGAAUCUGAUGUGUGCAGGAGAACGGAACCCCAAUCAGAUGGAGGCGGCUAUGCAAAAGGAACAACUUUGGCAGGGGAUCGUAGGAGCAAUCUUGAUCCAGCAGGCACACAGUUCGAUCCAGGCGGCUCUGCCAGAAAUCCUAACACUACGACACCGCAACUAGUGCACAAUACUGCAACAUCAGAAGCAUUGGCUUGUUUGGUGUGGAACUGUAGGGGGAUUGGGGGAUCCAGGACAGUCCGUGAUCUUGUAUCACUCAAUCAAGUGCAUCAUCCUCAGUUCAUAUUCCUGUGUGAAACGAGACAAAGAAAAGAGAGAGUCGGACGUUUAUGUAGCCGGCUAGGCCUGAGAGGCUAUGCCGGAGUUAGCAGUGAAGGCUUCAGCGGAGGGCUAGCACUCUUCUGGGAUGACAAGUUGCAUGUCGAAAUACAAGAUCUCAAUGAACGUUAUAUUGAUGUGCAUGUUGGCUUUGCUCCGGGUACUAUUUCAUGGAGAUUGACGUGUGUAUAUGGUGAGCCAAAGGUGGAAAAUAGACACCUCAUG
rnacentral:rRNA from 1 species